AGAUUGAACGCUGGCGGCAUGCCUUACACAUGCAAGUCGAACGGCAGCACGGGGGCAACCCUGGUGGCGAGUGGCGAACGGGUGAGUAACAUAUCGGAACGUGCCCUGGAGUGGGGGAUAACUAGUCGAAAGACUAGCUAAUACCGCAUACGAUCUACGGAUGAAAGUGGGGGAUCGCAAGACCUCAUGCUCGUGGAGCGGCCGAUAUCUGAUUAGCUAGUUGGUGGGGUAAAGGCCUACCAAGGCAUCGAUCAGUAGCUGGUCUGAGAGGACGACCAGCCACACUGGGACUGAGACACGGCCCAGACUCCUACAGGAGCAGCAGUGGGGAAUUUGGACAGUGGGCGCAAGCCUGAUCCAGCAAUGCCGCGUGAGUGAAGAAGGCCCUU
rnacentral:rRNA from 1 species